UGUUUGUGUGUGUUAUCCUAGCUGUGGUGACCCACGUUGAGUAUUCUACUAGUACUCUAACCCUUUUCCGACAGGUCUGUGCAUUAGACAGGUACUGAUGUGCCUUUAGUGUGUGUGUUUGUGUGUGUUAUCCUAGCUCCUGAUGCCUUACU